rnacentral:rRNA from 1 species
UACGUAGGGUGCGAGCGUUAAUCGGAAUUACUGGGCGUAAAGCGUGCGCAGGCGGUUCGCCAAGUCAGGUGUGAAAUCCCCGGGCUUAACCCGGAAACUGCCAUUGAUACUAUAGGUCUUGAAUUUUCUGGAGGAUAGCGGAAUAUGUCAUGUAGCGGUGAAAUGCUUAGAUAUGACAUAGAACACCAAUUGCGAAGGCAGCUCGCUACACUAUUAUUGACGCUGAGGCACGAAAGCGUGGGGAUCAAACAGG